GUGGUUAGCUAGGUGCAUAUGGAAAUGUGCUCGAUAGCCGCCGUCUGAAGUUAGGUGUGUUACGCACGUGGCAAACUAGCCUGACACAGCAGUGAAAUUAACAAACAUCGCAUGUCACAGAUUUAAGACCUGAAUGUAGAAAUCGUGGUCUGCUGGCCAGUGCCCAAAAUAUUGAAAUGACAUCCCUGCAUAUCAUUCCCUUUCAGAUGAUCCCCCUAUCACUGUUGGUCAUCCUCAGUGGCCUUACGAAUGAGAAUUAGAAGUACAGUCAUAUAGCUCAUCUCAAUACUUCACCUUUUCAGGCAAAGGGCAUCCUAGACUGUCCUGAUCAUCUAGUUGAGCAUUCCAGACAAUUCCUCCAUCACAGCAGAAAUGUGUCUCCGGAGGGGAUGACUGCCGUUUUACAGGCUCCUAACCAACUGCUUUUAUUGUGCUUUUUUUCCCGAAACUUAAUUUAAAAAAAUAAGUUCUACAUAAUGUUGCUGCUACCGUCUUUUAUGUCUGGAAAAAAAGCAGCGGUUACUCACCUCGAACUGGACAAAGAUGUUUUUCUUUAAGAAGUUCGACACGAAGGAAAUACUGCUUUCUCGAGACCAGGUCCAAAUCCCUGUCAUUUGCGUGAAGAAAAGAUGGAGAAAAAGGCAGCGGAGGUCGGGCGAUGACGACACUCGGGUCUGUAGCUGCCAUUUUCCGUUGGAAAAGAGAAAUGGUACCAGAAAAGAAGUGCAUCCCUCAGACUUUAUGAUGCAUGGACAUCCUGUGUCAGUGUGAUCCUCUUGUGGAGACUACUGCUGAUCGAGCCUGUGAACGGACAGAUACGAGGCGUGACAUGCUGAAACAUCAGGCUCACCCCAUGAGAAGCAGUAAAUGAUCAACGCCACCCUCAACAAGGAGAUCUGCUGGAAGUGAUUUACUCUCACUCUGGGGAAUGUCAGGUACAGACAUGGAAAUGGAGCCUUUAGCAAGUACUGACAGGAGGGGCCAUAUGAAUCUGUCAGAGGUUGUCACAAUGGGUGGUGAAGGAGGCUUGGUGCUCCACACAACGAAGAAGCAGUGUCCCUUCCAGUGAUUAUGGAGCUGACCUUGGACCUGGUGCCAGUAAGGAUGGUCUUCACGGAAAUCCUUCAACUUCACUGCCUCUUCAAUGGUAAGGUCCCUUGCACCAUAGGGACACUUGACCACCACCACUGCAGACAAUCCGGUGAGGAUCCCAGACCCCGUGACCCAAAGCCCUGACUCCUGCAUCUCCAUCCCUGUAACCAUUUUGAAUGUCUUGAUGCCCUCCUCUUUGUUAUCUGUGCCCCACUUUACAGACAUCACCCCAUCUAACGACUGAUCCGAGGACCCUUUUUAGUAGCAACGGAGGACAAGUGCAGUUUUUCCAUAAACUUUUAAUUGAUAAAUUGGGAUUUUAUUGCUUAAGAUAUCAGUCAUAUAGUGGGAAGGAUCCUAUAAAUGUAGACUGAAUGCGUACCACUGAAUAAAUAAAUACUGUGCCUCUGAA